rnacentral:ribozyme from 1 species
UUGGAUUGAAUUUAAUCAUUCCUUAACCUCACAUCUCGAAUCAGAAUUAGUUGCUGGUAAACCCGUGACAACUUUUAAGCGGAUGCAUUGGACAUAUUCAGUUGACUUUGUGAAUGCUACACAAACAAAUACAUCAACUGGA